GGGUAGUAGGGUCAGGGACCAGGUGAUAUUUGUUCAGUCUCCAUGGAUUCACCUGACCUGGCUGGGUCAUUGUCCCCUCCUUCCCUCAGUGUUCCUCAUGUGUCGUUUCUUGAAGCUGUGUGUUCAAAGAAGACAACCUUCCUAGGGAGAGGACCAUUCUUCUGGCAAGCAUAUCUUUCCAAGUUUGUUGCGAAGAUCUAAUAAGAUAAUGGAUAUAAAAAUGCUUUAAACACUGUAAAGCACUACAUGAAUAUAAGUUAUUAUAAUUAUGGUGAUUAAC
rnacentral:sRNA from 1 species